rnacentral:rRNA from 1 species
GUUUGACCUCGGAUCAGGUAGGGUUACCCGCUGAACUUAAGCAUAUCAAUAAGCGGAGGAAAAGAAACCAACAGGGAUUGCCCCAGUAACGGCGAGUGAA